AACGAACGCUGGCGGCAUGCCUAACACAUGCAAGUCGAACGAGACCUUCGGGUCUAGUGGCGCACGGGUGCGUAACACGUGGGAAUCUGCCCUUUGCUUCGGAAUAACAGUUAGAAAUGACUGCUAAUACCGGAUGAUGUCGAAAGACCAAAGAUUUAUCGGCAAAGGAUGAGCCCGCGUAGGAUUAGGUAGUUGGUGGGGUAAAGGCCUACCAAGCCGACGAUCCUUAGCUGGUCUGAGAGGAUGAUCAGCCACACUGGGACUGAGACACGGCCCAGACAGAGGAGGGGGGCAGGAGGAGGAAAUAGUGGAGGUGGGGGCGAACGGCGAUAGAGCAAGGAGUGUGUGGUGAGGAAGGCCUUGGGGUUGUAAGUAUUUUGAACCAGGGAUGUAAAGGAUAGCUCCUGAAUACGAACCCAGGGCUAGCCCCGCCCCAGCAGCCGUGCUAAUUAGAGGAAGAGCAGCCGUACGAAC
rnacentral:rRNA from 1 species